GGAAUCAAAUCAGGUGCACACAGCAUGGACGCUGCCAGAUUUUGGGACUUGGCCCUUUCUGACACAGUGGGGGCCAGGAGUGGUGAGAUUGGGGGUGAGCAAGAUUCUGAAGAGAGCAGAGCAAUAGAAACCAUAAAGAAGACAUAAAGGAGUAAUAAAGACUACACCCAAUGAUAGUCCUCUUCCUACAUGACCCUGGUUUGUGUCAAGUUGACAGGCUAGCCAGCACAUAUGGGUUCCAAGAGAGGAACUAAUACCAUCAGGAGUUCCUCCCUGUGGGGAUCUCUGCAACCUCCAUGGCCAACAGAGAGAUGAUCCAAGAGAAGCAAGAAGGCAGUUUGGUUCAACACAACUAAGUAGCUGGUGAUGGUUCUAACUUUGGGCUCUUCCACUGCUCCAGCCAGCCUUCCCUCUGCCACCUCUUGCCUUGAUUCUACAGACUGAGUUCCAAGGCCCAGAGAUGGAACUCACUCCUGACAGUUACUGCUGAAGCUGAAGACACAUCUCUG